GUUUUCCUGCAAACUUUGUGAAAACAAGAAAAAAGCGUAUUAAAUGUAUUAAUAAAAUUUUGCCGGAUAGCACAUACACGCAGCAAUGGCGUAAGACGUUUUGUGAAAUCAGGCAUUUAGCGGGCUGCGGGUUGCAGCCUGGACGAUAUGACGGGAUUGGUUCACUUGCUGUUUUGCAGUAGCGGUACCCCCUGUAAGCGCUGUUAUUCCAUAUGAAAAACAGGCUGCCGAGAAUUUGCGCCCCUUUAGCUGGCGACAACCGUGAGGUUGACGGCUAUGCGAUGAGACACGGGGCCAUCGGCUGUUCACGUCCAGCGUCACCAUGCCCGUAGCUCUGUCACUAA
rfam:Izhakiella sp. D4N98 NODE_3_length_385030_cov_109.747_ID_1919, whole genome shotgun sequence.